UACGUAGGGUGCAAGCGUUAAUCGGAAUUACUGGGCGUAAAGCGUGCGCAGGCGGUUGUGCAAGACAGAUGUGAAAUCCCCGGGCUCAACCUGGGAAUUGCAUUGUGACUGCACGGCUAGAGUGUGUCAGAGGGGGGGUAGAAUUCCACGUGUAGCAGUGAAGUGCGUAGAGAUGUGGAGGAACACCGAUGGCGAAGGCAGCCCCCUGGGUCAAGAUUGACGCUCAUGCACGAAAGCGUGGGAGCAAACAGG
rnacentral:rRNA from 1 species